UUCGUUGCCUUGUUGAGUGUGAGAGACGAAAGGGAGACGGGUGCGGGCUGUCCGAGCUCGACGUCGAGCUGUCAAGGCCGCGGCUGCCGGCGCUGCAUGCGUUGCAGCAGCCCGCCGGCCACCCACGGCCAAGACAGACGGAGUCGGAGCGAGGCGGCGUCGUGGGCGAGGCUGGGGCGGCGCGGCCGAAGGCCAAGCGCCGCUAACGCGGCGUGAACGAAGCAGCAGCGGCUGCCGGAAACGCGAGGGAAGGCGAUGAGUGAGGGAGGCCUCGGAUCUGGCGAUUUUCGCCGGGGUUGGAGCAGGCGGCGGCGGCGGAUCUAUGGAGGGAGAAGAGAAGAGGUGGUGGUUUUGAGAGAGAGAGGAAAAGAGAAGUUUUAGAGAGAUAGGCGGAUGGGAGGUGGUGAGAGAGGGAAGACCGGAGGUGGUUUGCGGCGAUGAUUCCGCCGGACUUGGAGCGGCGGCGGCAGAAGCCGAUGGCCGUCCGGCCAAGAGAGAGAGGGGCAGCGGUUUUGAGGGAGAAAGGAGGAAAAAGAGAGAGGAGAGAGGGGGAGCCGAGAGUGGGUGUGAGGAGAGAGAAAAGAAG
rnacentral:lncRNA from 1 species